GACGAACGCUGGCGGCGGGCUUAACACAUGCAAGUCGAACGGGAAGGCUCUGCUUUCGUGGGCGGCCCGAGUGGCGAACGGGUGAGUAACACGUGAGUAUCCUGCCUUUGACUUUGGGAUAACUGCUGGUAACGGGGGCUACUACCUGAUAGGAGCCCCUCCGGCAUGGUGGGGGUUGGAAAGUUUCGGCGGAUGGGGAUGGGCUCGCGGCUUACCAGCUUGUGGGUGGGGUAGUGGCUUACCAAGGCUUUGCCGGGUAGCCGGCCUGAGAGGGUGACUGGCCACAUUGGGACUGAGAUAAGGCCCAGACUACAACGCGAGGCAGCAGUGGGGAAUAUAGCAUAAUGGGCGGAAGCCUGGUGCAGUAACGCCGCGUGGGGGAAGAGGGCCAUCGGGUUGGAAUCCGAUGCCGCCUGUGACGAGGCGUGAGUGACGGUAAUGGGUAAAGAAGCACCGGCUAACUACGUG
rnacentral:rRNA from 1 species